rnacentral:rRNA from 1 species
UACGUAGGUGGCAAGCGUUGUUCGGAAUUAUUGGGCGUAAAGGGCGCGUAGGCGGUUUGUUAAGUCGGCUGUGAAAGCCCGGGGCUCAACCCCGGAGGGUCAGCCGAUACUGGCAGACUAGAGUACGGAAGAGGUAGCUGGAAUUCCCGGUGUAGCGGUGAAAUGCGUAGAUAUCGGGAGGAAUACCUGAGGCGAAGGCGGGCUACUGGGCCGAUACUGACGCUGAUGCGCGAAAGCCAGGGGAGCGAACGGG